rnacentral:lncRNA from 1 species
CUGGCGACGCGGCCCAUGAGAAAGAAGCCCAGCAACGAGAGGCGGUGAGAGCCGAACGAGAAGCCCUAGGACGUCUCUUCGUUCUUGUACUAUAAAUAGUAGAAUUGUUGCUGUAGAAGGGAUCUUUUUCGGACCCGGAGAGUAGAGACCUGAAUAUUGUAUUGAGUUCGUCGAGAGACCUCCGAACUGAACGAACUGUAAUUGAGAACUUAAUAAAAUCUAAUCAACUUAAUCUCUUUCGAACUCAAAUUACCGGACCGACCUCGAAUAGUUGAAUACAGUAAUCAACAAUUGGCGCCCACCGUGGG